GCCUCCUCAAUGACAUCAUUCUUCUUUUCUUUCUUUCAGGCUCUUCAUCUUAUCCAGGGAAAAUGUCGAAGGAAAGAAACAGAUUAUGACAAUGGUAACCCUAUGAAAUGGCUAUAAAGUCAAGAUAUAGCAGUGACUGAGGUCCUCACAAAGACAACGUUGGACGAAGAGUGAUGCACGCGAAGGACACGGAAGUCCGCCAAGACACCCAUCUGCAUCAAGGGGACAGAAGUGGGGACAGUACAGCACUACAGAUACCUGGGAGGGAACCUGGACAGCAAGCUGGACUGGACAGAAUCACAGAAAGGCCAGAACCGAGGCUUUGGUCAGAUGUUCUACAGCUCGGCAGUGGUCAGUGUCACCAUUUAAGCUGUAGUGUGUUGGGGCAGCAGGGUGAAGGCAGCAGAGGCCAACAGGCUCAUCGAGGCUUAUCUCACGCCCUGUGCUGACCCACAACAGCUAGCAGAGCUCCUUCAGCAAGAGACUAAUAUCACCACCGAGCGUCACAGGAGAUCCUUCCUCCUUGUGGUCGUCAGACUGUACAGCUCCUCUCACUCCUGUCCAGAGGAGAUAUGUCGGUUGAUACUAUUUGUCUGGUUCAAUUUUGCACAUUACAGUACCAUUUUAAAACCCUUUCUCAUAUUUUUUUAUCCUUUUUCCUGUAUACUUGCAUUUUACUUUUUUUUGUAUUUUACCAUUUCGUUUUUCCACUUGUAUUUUAAUUCCUUUUAUAUUGUAUUAUUGUACUACAUUGUAUUCUUUAUUCUUGGUAUAUUUAAACAUGGCGAGAGCAAUGCCUUUAGCACAACAAUAUGGCUCAGGAUAAAUAAAGUUGUAUCAUAUCUUAAAAGUUAUUUAGGGAACAGAGAAUGUGAGAAAAAUUAACCCACAUAUUUUUGGUAACGACACGUCAUUAACUCUGGCAUCAUUUAUGAAGUAAUGCAUUGCAAUGUGAAAAACAUAUUCCGUCAAACCUCUUCUGGUAAAUGCCAAAAGCUGCCCAGAGUGGCACUGAGGCUCAAUGGGAAAUACUGUUACCUCAGACCUCCAGGGUGAGGAAUUUCAAACCCUACUAAGUCCGUGUAAUGAGACUGUUCUCCCAGGUGUCCUCCUGCAGUCUGAAGACAUGCAGUUAGGCUGUUUGGUAUCUUUGUGGUGUGUGUUGUUUGUCUGUAUGUACUGUAUGUGCUCCAGAAUAGACCGGAAUUCUUCCCAGAGUAUACACACUGCCUGUGUUGCCCGGGAGAGGCUAGCUAACAAGGAACGCUUCCAUUAGGUUCUUAAAAAUUCUGCCGUAAUGUCAUAUAACCGACGUCCCUUUGGCAUUCUUAAAAUGCCGAUGUACAGAACAGUAACUGGAAACGAAAAUCACGGGAACAUGUUAAUAUAACGUAUUUAAAACCAAACCUGAAAAAAACGUUCUUAGGACAUAAAAUCAUUAUUGAACCAAACUUGAAAAAAGUUCUUGGGAUAUGAGAUUACAAAUGUUCACGGAACCAAACCUGAAAAAUGCAAAACAUAAAAUAACAUGUAAUAAACCAAACGUUUUGAACAAAAACAAUCAGUGCCGUUGUAACAUUAUUAUAAGUAUAUUAAAGGAAUCGAAAAACAACACUAACGAAAAAGAAGAAAUCAUCUAUUUCAUAACGUUUAAUAAUGGUGCCCAGAAUUUACUUUCUGCAGCGCUGGGCAAUGUGUAUAUUGUGUAAUACAGUUGUCAGCAGGCUACAGAAAACUCUAAUGAAUAAUCAGUGAUGAAUGCAAGGAAUUAAAUAACAAUUACCCUACAAUAAGCAAACAGCCGUGACCAUUCAUUCUCUAUUGGAUUAUGCGAUUUGUAGUAAUGAUUCUGGCAUCAGAGUAAUUACACAGGGGCAAGCAACAGCUCAUCUGGUUAGUCACAGUAAAGCCCUUGAA